UGCUAUUUUUGCUAUACACAUAAAAGCAAAAUGGUGGCCGAUCAUUGGAGUAAAUUGAAUGGCCCGUAUAGCUGGCGUCAACAUUCCAGAC
rfam:Motiliproteus sp. MSK22-1 scaffold67_cov2725_read212, whole genome shotgun sequence.